rnacentral:lncRNA from 1 species
GAUCUUAGGAGGACAAAGAGGAGUGAAUCUUGACGUGGAUUUUGCUUUUCUAGCAGUGAUAUUUUGGACCUGUACCUGAGAGAAGUGAAAGAUUCACGUGAAGGUGUGGAGUGAGAACUAGACCUGAAGGUGAAGGAUGACAGCAUCUGGUGAUAAACUACAUGUGGAAGCCACUGGUUACAGGUGGGAAGAGACCCCAACCUCACGAGAGAGAAUUAAUUGCUUAUGGAGACUUUUGUGGAUACCCAUAGAAGAAUAAAAAGAAAGAGGAAGUGAAAGAGAAGGAGAAGAAGAAAACUGUCCUGGGGAAAGUUGAUUGUUUUCUUUUUUAAAAAGAGUUAAAUGUACAAAUUUAUGGGCCACACUGCUAUAAUUUGAAACAUGUAUACAGUGUGUAACAAUCAAAUUAAAGUAGUUAACAUCUCCCUCUACUCAAAUAUUAAAAAAAUUGAUUAACCAUAGUAAUUAUACAUAUUUAUGGAGUACAGUGUGAUACUUCAACAGCAC